GCCGGGCGUGGUGGCUCAUGCCUGUAAUCCCAGUAAUUUGGGAGGCCGAGGCGGGUGGAUCACCUGAGGUCAGGAGUUCGAAACCAGCCUGACCAACAUGGUGAAACCCCGUCUCUA
rnacentral:sRNA from 1 species